rnacentral:rRNA from 1 species
GGUUAAGCGACUAAGCGUACACGGUGGAUGCCCUGGCAGUCAGAGGCGAUGAAGGACGUGCUAAUCUGCGAUAAGCGUCGGUAAGGUGAUAUGAACCGUUAUAACCGGCGAUUUCCGAAUGGGGAAACCCAGUGUGAUUCGUCACACUAUCAUUAACUGAAUCCAUAGGUUAAUGAGGCGAACCGGGGGAACUGAAACAUCUAAGUACCCCGAGGAAAAGAAAUCAACCGAGAUUCCCCCAGUAGCGGCGAGCGAACGGGGAGCAGCCCAGAGCCUGAAUCAGUGUGUGUGUUAGUGGAAGCGUCUGGAAAGGCGCGCGAUACAGGGUGACAGCCCCGUACACAAAAAUGCACAUACUGUGAGCUCGAUGAGUAGGGCGGGACACGUGGUAUCCUGUCUGAAUAUGGGGGGACCAUCCUCCAAGGCUAAAUACUCCUGACUGACCGAUAGUGAACCAGUACCGUGAGGGAAAGGCGAAAAGAACCCCGGCGAGGGGAGUGAAAAAGAACCUGAAACCGUGUACGUACAAGCAGUGGGAGCACAGAGCAAUCUGUGUGACUGCGUACCUUUUGUAUAAUGGGUCAGCGACUUAUAUUCUGUAGCAAGGUUAACCGAAUAGGGGAGCCGAAGGGAAACCGAGUCUUAACUGGGCGUUAAGUUGCAGGGUAUAGACCCGAAACCCGGUGAUCUAGCCAUGGGCAGGUUGAAGGUUGGGUAACACUAACUGGAGGACCGAACCGACUAAUGUUGAAAAAUUAGCGGAUGACUUGUGGCUGGGGGUGAAAGGCCAAUCAAACCGGGAGAUAGCUGGUUCUCCCCGAAAGCUAUUUAGGUAGCGCCUCGUGAAUUCAUCUCCGGGGGUAGAGCACUGUUUCGGCAAGGGGGUCAUCCCGACUUACCAACCCGAUGCAAACUGCGAAUACCGGAGAAUGUUAUCACGGGAGACACACGGCGGGUGCUAACGUCCGUCGUGAAGAGGGAAACAACCCAGACCGCCAGCUAAGGUCCCAAAGUCAUGGUUAAGUGGGAAACGAUGUGGGAAGGCCCAGACAGCCAGGAUGUUGGCUUAGAAGCAGCCAUCAUUUAAAGAAAGCGUAAUAGCUCACUGGUCGAGUCGGCCUGCGCGGAAGAUGUAACGGGGCUAAACCAUGCACCGAAGCUGCGGCAGCGACGCUUNNNNNNNNNNNNNNNNNNNNNNNNNNNNNNNNNNNNNNNNNNNNNNNNNNNNNNNNNNNNNNNNNNNNNNNNNNNNNNNNNNNNNNNNNNNNNNCCGGCAUGCUGGAGGUAUCAGAAGUGCGAAUGCUGACAUAAGUAACGAUAAAGCGGGUGAAAAGCCCGCUCGCCGGAAGACCAAGGGUUCCUGUCCAACGUUAAUCGGGGCAGGGUGAGUCGACCCCUAAGGCGAGGCCGAAAGGCGUAGUCGAUGGGAAACAGGUUAAUAUUCCUGUACUUGGUGUUACUGCGAAGGGGGGACGGAGAAGGCUAUGUUGGCCGGGCGACGGUUGUCCCGGUUUAAGCGUGUAGGCUGGUUUUCCAGGCAAAUCCGGAAAAUCAAGGCUGAGGCGUGAUGACGAGGCACUACGGUGCUGAAGCAACAAAUGCCCUGCUUCCAGGAAAAGCCUCUAAGCAUCAGGUAACAUCAAAUCGUACCCCAAACCGACACAGGUGGUCAGGUAGAGAAUACCAAGGCGCUUGAGAGAACUCGGGUGAAGGAACUAGGCAAAAUGGUGCCGUAACUUCGGGAGAAGGCACGCUGAUAUGUAGGUGAAGUCCCUCGCGGAUGGAGCUGAAAUCAGUCGAAGAUACCAGCUGGCUGCAACUGUUUAUUAAAAACACAGCACUGUGCAAACACGAAAGUGGACGUAUACGGUGUGACGCCUGCCCGGUGCCGGAAGGUUAAUUGAUGGGGUUAGCGCAAGCGAAGCUCUUGAUCGAAGCCCCGGUAAACGGCGGCCGUAACUAUAACGGUCCUAAGGUAGCGAAAUUCCUUGUCGGGUAAGUUCCGACCUGCACGAAUGGCGUAAUGAUGGCCAGGCUGUCUCCACCCGAGACUCAGUGAAAUUGAACUCGCUGUGAAGAUGCAGUGUACCCGCGGCAAGACGGAAAGACCCCGUGAACCUUUACUAUAGCUUGACACUGAACAUUGAGCCUUGAUGUGUAGGAUAGGUGGGAGGCUUUGAAGUGUGGACGCCAGUCUGCAUGGAGCCGACCUUGAAAUACCACCCUUUAAUGUUUGAUGUUCUAACGUUGACCCGUAAUCCGGGUUGCGGACAGUGUCUGGUGGGUAGUUUGACUGGGGCGGUCUCCUCCUAAAGAGUAACGGAGGAGCACGAAGGUUGGCUAAUCCUGGUCGGACAUCAGGAGGUUAGUGCAAUGGCAUAAGCCAGCUUGACUGCGAGCGUGACGGCGCGAGCAGGUGCGAAAGCAGGUCAUAGUGAUCCGGUGGUUCUGAAUGGAAGGGCCAUCGCUCAACGGAUAAAAGGUACUCCGGGGAUAACAGGCUGAUACCGCCCAAGAGUUCAUAUCGACGGCGGUGUUUGGCACCUCGAUGUCGGCUCAUCACAUCCUGGGGCUGAAGUAGGUCCCAAGGGUAUGGCUGUUCGCCAUUUAAAGUGGUACGCGAGCUGGGUUUAGAACGUCGUGAGACAGUUCGGUCCCUAUCUGCCGUGGGCGCUGGAGAACUGAGGGGGGCUGCUCCUAGUACGAGAGGACCGGAGUGGACGCAUCACUGGUGUUCGGGUUGUCAUGCCAAUGGCACUGCCCGGUAGCUAAAUGCGGAAGAGAUAAGUGCUGAAAGCAUCUAAGCACGAAACUUGCCCCGAGAUGAGUUCUCCCUGAC